rnacentral:tRNA from 1 species
GCCGGGAUGGCGGAAUGGAAGACGCGCCGUUCUCAAAAAACGGUGGGAAUACCCGUGCGGGUUCGAGUCCCGCUCCCGGCACCG